rnacentral:rRNA from 1 species
CCUACGGGAGGCAGCAGUGAGGAAUAUUGGUCAAUGGACGAGAGUCUGAACCAGCCAAGUAGCGUGAAGGAUGACUGCCCUAUGGGUUGUAAACUUCUUUUAUAUGGGAAUAAAAUGUUCCACGUGUGGGAUUUUGUAUGUACCAUAUGAAUAAGGAUCGGCUAACUCCGUGCCAGCAGCCGCGGUAAUACGGAGGAUCCGAGCGUUAUCCGGAUUUAUUGGGUUUAAAGGGAGCGUCGGUGGAUUGUUAAGUCAGUUGUGAAAGUUUGCGGCUCAACCGUAAAAUUGCAGUUGAAACUGGCAGUCUUGAGUGCAGUAGAGGUGGGCGGAAUUCGUGGUGUAGCGGUGAAAUGCUUAGAUAUCACGAAGAACUCCGAUUGCGAAGGCAGUUCACUGGACUGCAACUGACACUGAGGCUCGAAAGUGUGGGUAUCAAACAGGAUUAGAUACCCCGGUAGUC